UACAGAGGGUGCAAGCGUUAAUCGGAAUUACUGGGCGUAAAGCGCAUGUAGGUGGAUGAAUAAGUUUGAUGUGAAAUCCCUGGGCUUAACCUGGGAAUGGCGUUGAAGACUGUUGAUCUGGAGUUUGACAGAGGGUCGUGGAAUUUCCGGUGUAGCGGUGGAAUGCGCAGAUAUCAGGAGGAACACCAAUAGCGAAGGCAGCUCGCUGGGACGUUACUGACACUAAGGCGCGAAAGCGUGGGGAGCGAACAGG
rnacentral:rRNA from 1 species